rnacentral:rRNA from 1 species
UGCCUAAUACAUGCAAGUAGAACGCUGAAGGAAGGAGCUUGCUUCUUCUGGAAGAGUUGCGAACGGGUGAGUAACGCGUAGGUAACCUACCUGAUAGCGGGGGAUAACUAUUGGAAACGAUAGCUAAUACCGCAUAACAGUUUAGAACACAUGUUUUAAACUUGAAAGGUGCAAAUGCAUCACUAUCAGAUGGACCUGCGUUGUAUUAGCUAGUUGGUGAGGUAAAGGCUCACCAAGGCAACGAUACAUAGCCGACCUGAGAGGGUGAUCGGCCACACUGGGACUGAGACACGGCCCAGACUCCUACGGGAGGCAGCAGUAGGGAAUCUUCGGCAAUGGGGGCAACCCUGACCGAGCAAUGCCGCGUGAGUGAAGAAGGUUUUCGGAUCGUAAAGCUCUGUUGUAAGGGAAGAACGUUGUGUAGAGUGGAAAGUUACACAAGUGACGGUACCUUACCAGAAAGGGACGGCUAACUACGUGCCAGCAGCCGCGGUAAUACGUAGGUCCCGAGCGUUGUCCGGAUUUAUUGGGCGUAAAGGGAGCGCAGGCGGUUUAAUAAGUCUGAAGUUAAAGGCUGUGGCUCAACCAUAGUUCGCUUUGGAAACUGUUAAACUUGAGUGCAGAAGGGGAGAGUGGAAUUCCAUGUGUAGCGGUGAAAUGCGUAGAUAUAUGGAGGAACACCGGUGGCGAAAGCGGCUCUCUGGUCUGUAACUGACGCUGAGGCUCGAAAGCGUGGGGAGCAAACAGGAUUAGAUACCCUGGUAGUCCACGCCGUAAACGAUGAGUGCUAGGUGUUAGGCCCUUUCCGGGGCUUAGUGCCGCAGCUAACGCAUUAAGCACUCCGCCUGGGGAGUACGACCGCAAGGUUGAAACUCAAAGGAAUUGACGGGGGCCCGCACAAGCGGUGGAGCAUGUGGUUUAAUUCGAAGCAACGCGAAGAACCUUACCAGGUCUUGACAUCCCUCUGACCGCCCUAGAGAUAGGGUUUCCCUUCGGGGCAGAGGUGACAGGUGGUGCAUGGUUGUCGUCAGCUCGUGUCGUGAGAUGUUGGGUUAAGUCCCGCAACGAGCGCAACCCUUAUUGUUAGUUGCCAUCAUUUAGUUGGGCACUCUAGCGAGACUGCCGGUAAUAAACCGGAGGAAGGUGGGGAUGACGUCAAAUCAUCAUGCCCCUUAUGACCUGGGCUACACACGUGCUACAAUGGUUGGUACAACGAGUCGCAAGCCGGUGACGGCAAGCUAAUCUCUUAAAGCCAAUCUCAGUUCGGAUUGUAGGCUGCAACUCGCCUACAUGAAGUCGGAAUCGCUAGUAAUCGCGGAUCAGCACGCCGCGG